CGCGUAGGCGGCUAUUUAAGUCAGAUGUGAAAGUCCACGGCUCAACCGUGGAAGUGCAUUUGAAACUGGAUAGCUUGAGUACUGGAGGGGGUGGUGGAAUUCCCGGUGUAGAGGUGAAAUUCGUAGAUAUCGGGAGGAAUACCGGUGGCGAAGGCGACCACCUGGCCAGAUACUGACGCUGAGAUGCGAAAGCGUGGGGAGCGAACAGGAUUAGAUACCCUGGUAGUCC
rnacentral:rRNA from 1 species